rnacentral:rRNA from 1 species
AUUGAACGCUGGCGGCAGGCCUAACACAUGCAAGUCGAACGCGUGGCGGACGGGUGAGUAAUGUCUGUGACACUGCCCGCUUGAGGGGGAUGACUACUUGAAACGGGAGCUAUUACCGCCUGCCCUCGGAUGUGCCCAGAUGGGAUUAGCUAGUAGGUUGGUUAACGGCUCACCUAGGCGACGAUCCCUAGCUGGUCUGUGCGGAUGACCAGCCACCCUGGAAUGGAGCCGCGGUCCAGACCCCUACGGGAGGCAGCAGUGGGGAAGAUUGCACAAUGGGCGCAAGCCUGACGCAGCCAUGCCGCGUGUAUGAAGAAGGGCUUCGGGUUGGAAAGUACUUUCAGCGAGGAGGCGUUACUAGCAGAAGAAGCACCGGCUAACUCCGUGCCAGCAGCCGCGGUAAUAC